AUUGAACGCUGGCGGCAGGCUUAACACAUGCAAGUCGAGCGGGGAAGGGUAGCUUGCUACCUGACCUAGCGGCGGACGGGUGAGUAAUGCUUAGGAAUCUGCCUAUUAGUGGGGGACAACAUUCCGAAAGGAAUGCUAAUACCGCAUACGCCCUACGGGGGAAAGCAGGGGAUCUUCGGACCUUGCGCUAACAGAUGAGCCUAAGUCAGAUUAGCUAGUUGGUGGGGUAAAGGCCUACCAAGGCGACGAUCUGUAGCGGGUCUGAGAGGAUGAUCCGCCAAACUGGGACUGAGACACGGCCCAGACUCCUACGGGAGGCAGCAGUGGGGAAUAUUGGACAAUGGGCGAAAGCCUGAUCCAGCCAUGCCGCGUGUGUGAAGAAGGCCUUUUGGUUGUAAAGCACUUUAAGCGAGGAGGAGGCUACCGAGAUUAAUACUCUUGGAUAGUGGACGUUACUCGCAGAAUAAGCACCGGCUAACUCUGUGCCAGCAGCCGCUGUAA
rnacentral:rRNA from 1 species